rnacentral:rRNA from 1 species
CACCUCUUCCCAUUCCGAACAGAGAAGUUAAGCCCGUUAGCGCCGAUGGUACUGCAUAUCGCGGAAGAGUAGGUCGCCGCCUCCU